GAGUUCACGUAGAGUAGUUUGAUCCGUGGCACGAGGACACGCUGGCGGCGUGCUUUACACAUGCAAGUCGAACGAUGAUGCCCAGCUUGCUGGGUUGAUUAGUGGCGAACGGGUGAGUAACACGUGAGUAACCUGCCCCAGACUCUGGGAUAACUCCGGGAAACCGGGGCUAAUACUGGAUAUCAUUUCUGCCUGCAUGGGUGGUUGUUGAAAGGGUUUCUGGUCUGGGAUGGGCUCGCGGCCUAUCAGCUUGUUGGUGGGGUGAUGGCCUACCAAGGCGAUGACGGGUAGCCGGCCUGAGAGGGUGACCGGCCACACUGGGACUGAGACACGGCCCAGACUCCUACGGGAGGCAGCAGUGGGGAAUAUUGCACAAUGGGCGCAAGCCUGAUGCAGCGACGCCGCGUGAGGGAUGACGGCCUUCGGGUUGUAAACCUCUUUCAGUAGGGAAGAAGCCUUUCGGGGUGACGGUACCUGCAGAAGAAGCGCCGGCUAACUACGUG
rnacentral:rRNA from 1 species